UGUGGGAGCGAGCCUGCUCGCGAUAGCGGUCUGUCAGUAGCCAACUUACUGCCUGAUACACCGCCAUCGCGAGCAGGCUCGCUCCCACC
rnacentral:misc_RNA from 1 species